UGCUUCAACGCCGCUGCGAAACUACGUUGUGUGUUGGACAUGUGAUCGUCGUGGGUGUGUGUUGUGUUACUCGGUUCACCUUGCGCAGCUGGCUUACGUGCAGUGGAAAGUGUUCCGGUAUUGUGUGGUGCGUGUAAAAGUGUGUGGUGUAGUGCGUUGCAGUGUUUACAUCUGUACGGCGAAGAGCAAUCUCGUGUGUGAUGAGUGUCCCGCAGGCAGUUAAAACACAACCGAGCAUUUACAACUAUGUUGUAGCGUCGUGCAGGAUCCAUGCAAGGAAUCGCUGGCACUUUGUUGUCAUGUGCGUUUGGCUGCAUAGAGCGCAUUUCUUCUCGUGGUAGUGGUUGGUAGUGGCAAAGCUGUUAUUCGUUCGACGCGAUGGUGUAAGGGGUUCCGUGUAGGACAUAUCCAACUUGUUGACGGAUAACGAUUCGAGUACACGAAUACGACGUUGUAAAAACGUGAUGAGUCCCUCGUAGCUGGGAUUAGUAUUGGUGGAAGCGUGUUCCUCCCAAUCACGCAAGGUGGAUACAGGCAAUUUAGUGCACAAGAGGUGUUCUAAAAUGCUGUCCAUGUGUUGGUGUCUUCACCCAAAUGGUCCAGCGUUUUUUUUUUUGUGGCGCUGGAACUCAUCGACCAGCUGAUGCAGGGUCGACGCACUUUCCUUCUUGGCCGAUGCAAUGCCGAACAUCGCUUGUAGGUGACGCUUUUUUAAUAGGUACUCAUUUGAGUAUCUCUCCGUCCGCAUUCUCCUAGCGAGAUCGUAGUUGGAUGCACUUAUCGUGAUCGCUUCGAUCACUUGAGCAGCUUCUCCCUUGACAGCAGCGCGCAAGUAAUGGAACUUUUGAAUGGCUGGUAAAUCGUCGUUCUGGUGGAUGAGGCACUCGAAAGUGUCCCUAAAGGUCAGCCAUCGCAUAUAGUCACCAUCGAACUCCGGGAGUGCAAUGGUGGGCAGUUUUAUGCCUUGCAGCGGGUUGCCACCCGGCCUUGGCUGCGCAUUCUGUAGGUGGGAGAUUUCCUUCCAUUCCCGUUUUAACGCGGAUUGAACGCGAAUCACUCUCGCCUCAAAGUUCUCGCGGAGUGCAGCAUUAUGAACAUUUUUUUCGGCAUUGCUCGUCUGGUCUUUGAGCUGUUGCUGGAUGCUUUCCAAAUCCUUGGACAGCUUCUCAAACCUGCCAAACCGAACCUCCACCUCUACGGCAUCCCGUUCAGCAUCGUAUUCGUGCACAAAUUGCACGUACCGCACCAGAGCAGCUAGCAGAAUCGUUCGUCGCGAUGUUAACACUGUCGAUUGCGCAGGCAUUGUGGGGCGAAGUGUGUGAAGGGAUUGUAUUUUGGUGAGCGGAACAAAACGUACAAAAUGACGAAUCACGUUACGCGCGCGGAAAAAACGUUAAAAACUCGCGAAAAUUUCAGGAAUCGCACUGUAUAUCCUGGUCACGGCACCAAUGUUCGUUCGCAGGAGUUUUCGGAUGUGGUUUUUUUGCUGCAGUUGUGAAUAUUUACCGUCGUUUGUGUUGCUUGGAAGUUCGCAGGUGCAAUUCAGGAAUACGAUUUUACCCAGUCUGCUUUACACAAUGCUCAUCGUUUCCUACGGCUAGAAGGAGAUGUGUAUCGAACUCCAGUAGCCGGAAAAUUGUCUGUAUCUCACUCAACAUCGGACGGCAAGUCGAGGGAAUCAAUUUCAUCAUAAUGUUUUAAUAAAUACAAAUUUAACAGCACAGGUAACUUAAAAGCAAAACUCAGAAAUCGAACUGUUUCCACAAUUUUGUUUUUUUUUUGCUUUCUCCCUGUACGAUGGAUCGCGACAACCAUAACCUUUUUUCCGGGGGCCCACACCGGAAAAUGAGGAAACUGGGACGAAAUUUAUUAAAGCUAUUUUACCGAUGUCGAACAUAAGGGAAAGUUUCUUCUUCUUCAUUGGCACUUCAACCUCGAGAGGUCUUGGCCUGCUAUUUCUGGCUUUCUGUGUCUUGAUUUUACCUGUAGCAAAGUAGUCAGCCCUGCGUACGGGGAGGCGGUCUGGAUGGGAUUAGAACCCCGGUCCUGCCGUGUGAAGACCGGCGCCGUUAUCGCCUCGGCCAUCCGACCGCCUCUAGUUUAUCAUCGAUUUAAUGUUGUACAGUAUCAACGCUUUUACUAACCGCGUAUUGUCUAUCCAAUUUAAUUAUAUUUCCAUGUAUACCACGUCUUUUAUCGAUCCUCUGAAAGCACACGAGCUCAAUCAGGACGCUUUUCUAUCACGGAAAAAGGAGCAGUGCUGUGAAACAUUGAGAACGGAUGCGCCUAACACAUCGCUCGUUUUUAUGGACACUCGAAUAAUCUUUCAGAAGAAUGGGCAUUUGAGUUAUCAUCAACAAAAAUACGGAAUGGUCAGGAUGGACGCUUAAGGCAACCAGAAUCAUUUGUAUGUUUAAGCAAAUGGAUGGAUUUAUAACUUAGAAAUGGAUUCCAAGAAGCAGGAUACAAAUAAUAACAACUUGCCGCUACCGCCACACGAAGACAAGAAGUACCUGUUUCUCUAUAAAAUGAUUGCAGAUGUUGAAGUGCAGUUGACCGAACAAAACAAAAAGUUGGAUCAAUUGACCACGAAAAUGGAGCAAUUGAAACAGACGAUUAUGAACCAUCCCAGUGGCAUCGGUAGCCCAGCAACAGCAAUUAGUACUCCAGCCUUCAGCACAGUAAGUCCAGCCUUCAGCACAGCGGAGACCAUUGACGAUCUAAAUUCCCUGGAAUUGAAAUUGUGCAAUGUAGAUAUGCA